rnacentral:rRNA from 1 species
GAUCAUGGCUCAGGAUGAACGCUAGCUACAGGCUUAACACAUGCAAGUCGAGGGGCAGCAUUUUAGUUUGCUUGCAAACUAAAGAUGGCGACCGGCGCACGGGUGAGUAACACGUAUCCAACCUGCCGAUAACUCGGGGAUAGCCUUUCGAAAGAAAGAUUAAUAGUCCGAUAGCAUAUUAGAACCGCAUGGUUUUACUAUUAAGGAAUUUCGGUUAUCGAUGGGGAUGCGUUCCAUUAGUUUGUUGGCGGGG